AACUUUCAGCGGUGGAUGUCUAGGUUCCCACAACGAUGAAGAACGCAGCGAAAUGCGAUACGUAAUGCGAAUUGCAAGACCUCGUGAAUCAUUAAAAUUUUGAACGCACAUUGCGCUUUCGGGAUUUUCCCGGGAGCAUACUUGUCUGAGUG
rnacentral:rRNA from 1 species